CCUACGGGAGGCUGCAGUGGGGAAUAUUGCACAAUGGGGGAAACCCUGAUGCAGCGACGCCGCGUGAGUGAAGAAGUAUCUCGGUACGUAAAGCUCUAUCAGCAGGGAAGAAAAUGACGGUACCUGACAAAGAAGCCCCGGCUAACUACGUGCCAGCAGCCGCGGGAAUACGUAGGGGGCAAGCGUUAUCCGGAUUUACUGGGUGUAAAGGGAGCGUAGACGGCUAAUCAAGUCAGAAGUGAAAACCCAGGGCUUAACUUUGGGACUGCUUUUGAAACUGAGUAGCUAGAGUGCAGGAGAGGUAAGCGGAAUUCCUAGUGUAGCGGUGAAAUGCGUAGAUAUUAGGAGGAACACCAGUGGCGAAGGCGGCUUACUGGACUGUAACUGACGUUGAGGCUCGAAAGCGUGGGGAGCAAACAGGAUUAGAUACCCCAGUAGUC
rnacentral:rRNA from 1 species